rnacentral:lncRNA from 1 species
UGGUAGCAGAAGAAAACCAAGAGGCCUCUCUACGAAAGCUUGCAGUAAGGAGAAAGUUCUGGAGACUGGGAAGAGCAAUACAAAGAUAUUCAGUUGCUUGGUGAGAGCUGCUCUCUGCUUCCAAGGUGGCACCUUGUUGCUGCAUCCUCCAAUGGGAAGGAACGCUGGGUCCUCACAUGACAGAAGGUGGAAAGGAUGUAAUGAAGUUAUUCCAAGAGUUAGCACCUCUGUAUACUCAAGAUCUCUGUCCAGUGAAUCCCUUGCCAUUCUAAUGGCAUGGGCGAGGCAAUGCCACAGUGUGACUUUUUGCAUCUUCAGAAAGAGCACACACAUAAAGCUUUCAUAAAGCUUUAUUUUCACAAAGCACACAUAAACAGGAAGUCCUGGGAAGAGAAGAUAUUAGCUGUGUCUUUCUACCACCCAGAGGCUUCACCUCUAUCAUGCUUCUAAAAUAAAAUACCAGGUUGAUGUUCUGACCAUGGGCCAUAAACCAGGGUUAAGGAAGCCCAAGGAGAAGACUGGUCUUCUUCCCAAAGCAUCCUCUCUUCUUUAAGGACGCUCCACAGUUUUAGGAUCUCACCAUGAGACAACAUGAGACUCAGCAUCCUCUGCACCCUGCAUGUGAACAGAGAUGCCCGUUUGGCACAAGAAUGGGAGGCAACUAAAACUAACCAGAUAUACUCGGGGACCAGGACUUUAUUUCUCUGAAUCUUAAUUUCCCAUUCUAAGAGGAAAGAAUUAGACACGACUGACCU